rnacentral:misc_RNA from 1 species
GAUGAAGAACGUAGCGAAAUGCGAUAAGUAAUGUGAAUUGCAGAAUUCAGUGAAUCAUCGAAUCUUUGAACGCACAUUGCGCCCCCUGGUAUUCCGGGGGGCAUGCCUGUCCGAGCGUCAUUACAACCCUCAAGCUCAGCUUGGUAUUGGGCCCCGCCGACCCGGCGGGCCCUAAAGUCAGUGGCGGUGCCGUCCGGCUCCGAGCAUAGUAAUUCUUCUCGCUCUGGAGGUCCGGUCGUGUGCUCGCCAGCAACCCCCAAUUUUUUUCAGGUUGACCUCGGAUCAGGUAGGGAUACCCGCUGAACUUAAGCAUAUCAAUAAGCGGAGGA